GACGAACGCUGGCGGCGUGCUUAACACAUGCAAGUCGAACGGAAAGGCCCUGCUUUUGUGGGGUGCUCGAGUGGCGAACGGGUGAGUAACACGUGAGUAACCUGCCCUUGACUUUGGGAUAACUUCAGGAAACUGGGGCUAAUACCGGAUAGGAGCCCCUGCUGCAUGGUGGGGGUUGGAAAGUUUCGGCGGUUGGGGAUGGACUCGCGGCUUAUCAGCUUGUUGGUGGGGUAGUGGCUUACCAAGGCUUUGACGGGUAGCCGGCCUGAGAGGGUGACCGGCCACAUUGGGACUGAGAUACGGCCCAGACUCCUACGGUAGGCAGAAGUGGGGAAUAUUGCACAAUGGGCGGAAGCCUGAUGCAGCAACGCCGCGUGCGGGAUGACGGCCUUCGGGUUGUAAACCGCUUUCGCCUGUGACGAAGCGUGAGUGACGGUAAUGGGUAAAGAAGCACCGGCUAACUACGUG
rnacentral:rRNA from 1 species